UCUGUGAUGGCAAACAGCAAGGUGGGCAGGCUGAGGAGUGUGUCCCGAUUUACAGGGGACAAUCAGAAUUAUGGCCUGGAUGCCGUGCGACAGCUCUGCCUGCAGUCCAGGAAGCUUUUCUGUUAUAAAGAUCUACUUUCUGGAUCACUGCAAACUAGCCAAAGUGGAGUUUGUGCGCAUCUUCCGAUGAGGGGGCCUGGUUCUGUAAAAUGGAGAUAAUGGUCCUUCCUCUCCCUGCCUUCCCAAGGAUGAUUUCAAGGACAAGCCAGAUGGUACUUAAGAGCCCGCCUCGGAGGAAGGGCAUGGUGUGAGCGCUGGGCGUUAUCAGGAUUGUUCCCUUACCUUCCAGAGUCUGCUGACAUUCUUACUCGUGUCUUUCUCAUCUUGUAAAGCAGGUUGCAUCCUAAGAAUUCUGUUUGGUUCAAGGUCACACAAGGUUGGAUGCCUCAGCUGGAUUUAAACAAAGAACAACUGAGUUCCUAAUUAUGGCUCAGCCCAUUGGACCACAGUGACCUCUGUCUGGUCUCUACCUGGAAGCCCAGCCCUGUUGGAGGAAGUAAUGCGCCUGCCCUCCAGGUGGUGUGGAAACCUGUUGUGCCGCUGCCUCCUCCCCCAGUGACCAGGUGGAAUCUAACUCUCUGUGUUCCCAGCAUCUCACACCUGCCUAGCACAGCCUGCCUUGCAGAGCAGGUGUGAGCCAUGAGUCGCUCAGUUUGGUGAGAGGAGUCAGAGGACACAAAUCUGCUUGGGGGAUUCAGAAGUGAUGGACAGGCCCCAAGUGUGAGAUUUCCAGGCUAAUUAAAAAGCUUCCAUUCUGUGAAACUUUGAAUUCAAUUAGUUUGCAUAAGGGCAUCUAAAACAGAAAUGCCAGGGAGGCAGAAAUGCCAAACAAAAGUGGAAAAAUCCCUUCUGAGCUAGCAACCACCCCAGCUUCGCAGCUGCACUGCAGCGGUGCUUUUCCUGGAUGCUGUGCUCUGCUUUGGACGGCAGUCCUGUCUUCUUAGCUACAUUUCUCAGGAGCCCUUGCUCCUGGCUUCUGGCUGGCCUCAGGGAGUCAGUGAGGAUAAACUGAAGGGGUGGCCGGGCCUGGUGGCUCACACCUGUAAUCCCAGCCCUUUGGGAGGCCCAGGCGGGCAGAUCAUGAGGCCAGGAAUUCAAGACCAGCCUGGCUAAUAGGGCGAAACCCUGUCUCUACUAAAAAUGCACAAAUUAACUGGGUGUGGUGGUGGGCGGCUGUAAUCCCAGCUACUCAGGAGGCUGAGGCAAGAAAAUCGCUUGAACCCGGGAGGGGGAGUUUGCAGUGAGCCGAGAUUGCGCUGCUGCACUCCAGCCUGGGUGACAGAGCAAGACUCUGUUUCAAAAACAAACAAAAAAAACCAACAAAAAAACUGAAGAGCUAUGGGAGGGGAGAUGCCAGGGCAUUUCUCUGUCUCUCUGCAGCCUGGUCAGUGUACCUAACACUGGUCCUCUGUGGCUGGGUGGCCCUUCCCUCCAUCCUUCCAAUUCCUACCAGAGAGUGUAGGAUUCGGGUGCAGAUAACAUUCCCUUUCCAAGCUCAGAGUGGGCAGAAACUUCUAAACUUCUUCCUGUUGCUUCUUUCUGGGUUGCUUCCCUACCCCUAUUGGACUUUUCAGCUCCUCCAACAUCUUUGCAACCAGUUCCCCAAGUUAUAUCCCUUCUGUUGAAGACCCAGGCUGGGCACUGUUUUCCCAACCGAUCUGUGGUUGGAAUCUCUGAGGGCACCUCUGUGGUACACACGAGGAGCCUGAAACCUGGAGCAGUCCUGGACCUGCCUGUGUGAAUUGCAUUAGUGAUGGGGCAGGACCCAGCUCUCCCAGGAUAACUUAAAGACUCCUGCGGCUCUGCUUCCUUGUCGGGUGGGGGGCACUUUUUAGUUUAAUCUUAAAAAAAUUUAUGAAUAGGGUAAAAAAUUCACAACACAUAAGAGGGUGCACAAUAAAACCUCGAUUUUCCUCUCUCUGAACCCCCGU
rnacentral:lncRNA from 13 species